rnacentral:misc_RNA from 1 species
GAACGCACCUUGCACCCUUUGGUAUUCCGAAGGGUACACCCGUUUGAGUGUCAUUGUAAUCUCACCUCUUCAACCCUUUUUUGGGUUGACCAGUGUGGACUUGGAUGCUGUCGUGUGACAAACGGCUCGUCUGAAAUUCCUGAGUGUACCCUGCUUUGCGGCGUAUUCGGUGUGAUAAAUCUUCACCGGAGUUGAUCCUUUGGAUCACGUCUCUUGCAAUGGCUCUAUGCUUCAAACCGUCUUGACAGGACAAUCCUCUGACAAUUUGACCUCAAAUCGGGUGGGACUACCCGCUGAACUUAAG